UUUUUAAUUAAAAAUAAUAAAAGUAUUUUAAUAAAACUAAAAGGAUGCGGUAACCCUAACUGUAAUAAAGUAGCAUAAUCACUCGCCAUUUAAUUGGUGGAUAGUAUGAAUGGUUUAACGAAUAUUACACUGUCUAAAAUAUAAAUCUCAUAAAAAUGAAAUAAUAGUAAAGAUGCUAUUUAAAAUUGUAAGACGAAAAGACCCUAUAGAGCUUAACUAUUAUCUUUUCAAUAAAAACAAAUUUACUUUGAAUUAAAAAAGAUAGGUAGUUUAGUUGGGGCGACUAUUUUUUAAAGAAAACAAAAAUAAACAAUAUUAAUAAUAAAAUUUACUGUAUAAAAAACAAAUUUAACAGUUACUAAAGUAGGUUAUAAUGACCCGAUUAUAUUUUAUAAUUAAAUAAACGAUCAUUGAAUAAAAGCUACCUUAGGGAUAACAGAAUAAUCUUAUUUAAGAGAUCAUAUCAAAAAUAAGGUUUAUCACCUCUAUGUUGAAUUAAGAUAUCCUAAUAGUGCAGAAGCUAUUAAAGGUAGGUCUGUUCGACCUUUAAAAUCUUACAUGAUUUGA
rnacentral:rRNA from 1 species